rnacentral:lncRNA from 1 species
GGAAUCUGUCUUACAGGCCCAAGGAUUGAAGCUCAGGGCAGAGCUGUAGCUCUGCAGGUAGUGUUGGAUGGAUGGAUGGGGGCCACCUGACUGAGCCAUUAGACUAUCUUCCACCUUUGGUGGCUUCACCUGCCAACCGAUGGUAGCUUUUAUCUGUCAGUGAUUUGGCAGGCAAUAGCUCUUUUCAGUCCCACUGGAGAGUGGGCCCAUGAAGGGGGAAAUGGGGUAGACGGACUCCAGUGUCCAAGGGGUUGACAAAGGCCAACCCCUUGCUUUCUCUGUGUGCUUGCUGAGGGGCCUUUAGAAUGACUUGUCUUUUUUUUUUUUUUUUCAUUGCUUCAAGCUGACAAAGGUGAUAUCUGUUUGCUCACAGAAUUUACUUCAUGUGUGGAGCAUAUGAGAUACUCAGGAGUGUUUAUUCUUGAGUGUAUCGACGAGUAAAUGCCUAAACAGAUGGAAAGCGAAGGAUGGGCUCCCCUGGAAAAGGAAGGGCCCUCUCUUCACUAUGGACACAAGACUUUGAAAAUAAGUUUGAGUCACAAGACACAGGAACAUGGAACAGGCUGGAAUGAGAGGUCCCCUCUGCAAGCAAGGCCGAGGAACUUAGGCCUGCUUUGGGCCCAAAGCCCUGGGGAAUCGGAUCCCACAUCUCACCAACUCAAGAGCUAGGUCAACCUUUGUGCGGCCACAGUGCCACCUGGUGGUCCCUGGGGAAAUGUCAUCUCAGCAUUGAAAAAGCCACACAAGGAUUGCAAAACAACCAACCGUACACCACUUUAUUUAGAUAUUUAUCAAAAAAAGUACAAAGUGUUAAAAAUGUGUUCUGAACUUCAUGUUCUUUUGUUUUUUGUUUUUUGUUUUUUUUUUUGCAGUGCUGGGGACUGAAUCUGGGUUAGGUGGGUCAGAAGAGGUGUUCAAAGGUUGUCCCACCCCAAUAGAAAAGGGAAGCCUCAGGAACCACAGUCCAUCCCUCCCUCCCACCCCCUAUUCUCUUCAUCGAGAAAACCAUUCUUGAACUUGUCCAGGAACAUACGGAGCAUGGCACCUGUAGCAAGCAGUUACCUGAUCUGAGAAAAGCAAGAAUGAAGUCAGAGUCUUCCUCCUCACCUGCUGCCCCUAAACUUCCCAGAUCCUUCGGGAAUCCCACCAACCGACCCCACCCUCCACCCACACACUCACCAGGGGGCUAAGGCCUGCCCCUGUGCUUCUUGGCAGGAAGGAUGCCACACAGCUUAAUUUCAUCUUCUUCGCUCUCAUCAUCACUUUCUUCUUCAGAAAGGUCGUUGUUUAUACAAACUGGUGGAUACACAAGGAUAGAGCC